AAUGGGAAAAGAGCGGCACUCAUGAAAUCCCUUGGCUCACCCAGAAAACCCUGAAGGUGGACGGCCUUCCAAGGCAGAACUGAAGUUGCCAGAAGAGGCAGAAAUUCUGCUUCAACUGCAGCAUCCACUUCUGAAUCUCCAGCCUGCUGGCCUGCCCUGUGGAUUCUGGACAUGCUAGCCCCCACAAUCCUGGCCUUCCUAUGAGGGAAAGAUGUGACAUGAGAACAAACUGUUUGGAAGCAUCCGGGAGCUGUGGCAGGUGAUUUGGAAGUAACCCGGAUAGUCCUCAGUAGGAGAGCCUGCAGCCCUCACAGGGUCAUGGCGUCCAAGAGCUAAAAGGACCUUGGGAGCGUGUGUUAGAACCCUUCACUUCACUGGUGGAGGAGGGAGGGCUCUGAAUGGAAACUGGCUUGCUGGAGGCUGAACUGGGACUAGAACUCAAGUCAUCGAAAU
rnacentral:lncRNA from 10 species